rnacentral:misc_RNA from 1 species
GAAAUGCGAUAAGUAGUGUGAAUUGCAGAAUUCAGUGAAUCAUCGAAUCUUUGAACGCACAUUGCGCCCUUUGGUAUUCCGAAGGGCAUACCUGUUCGAGCGUCAUUUCAAACCUCAAGCUUUGCUUGGUCUUGGGCGUCUUUUUUGUCUUGCGUGUUUGCAAGACUCGCCUUGAAACCAUCGGCUGCUGGACUGUCGGUCAUGGAGCACAGUACAUCGUUGCUGCCUGCCGUACGCCCGUAGUUGCCGCCGCGAAUUGUCGAAUUCCAGUUUGACCUCGGAUCAGGUAGGAAUACCCGCUGAACUUAA